rnacentral:rRNA from 1 species
CUACAGGCUUAACACAUGCAAGUCGAGGGGCAGCAUUUUAGUUUGCUUGCAAACUGAAGAUGGCGACCGGCGCACGGGUGAGUAACACGUAUCCAACCUGCCGAUAACUCCGGGAUAGCCUUUCGAAAGAAAGAUUAAUACCGGAUAGCAUACGAAUAUCGCAUGAUAUUUUUAUUAAAGAAUUUCGGUUAUCGAUGGGGAUGCGUUCCAUUAGUUUGUUGGCGGGGUAACGGCCCACCAAGACUACGAUGGAUAGGGGUUCUGAGAGGAAGGUCCCCCACAUUGGAACUGAGACACGGUCCAAACUCCUACGGGAGGCAGCAGUGAGGAAUAUUGGUCAAUGGGCGAGAGCCUGAACCAGCCAAGUAGCGUGAAGGAUGAAGGCUCUAUGGGUCGUAAACUUCUUUUAUAUGGGAAUAAAGUUUUCCACGUGUGGAAUUUUGUAUGUACCAUAUGAAUAAGGAUCGGCUAACUCCGUGCCAGCAGCCGCGGUAAUACGGAGGAUCCGAGCGUUAUCCGGAUUUAUUGGGUUUAAAGGGAGCGUAGGUGGAUUGUUAAGUCAGUUGUGAAAGUUUGCGGCUCAACCGUAAAAUUGCAGUUGAAACUGGCAGUCUUGAGUACAGUAGAGGUGGGCGGAAUUCGUGGUGUAGCGGUGAAAUGCUUAGAUAUCACGAAGAACUCCGAUUGCGAAGGCAGCUCACUAGACUGUCACUGACACUGAUGCUCGAAAGUGUGGGUAUCAAACAGGAUUAGAUACCCUGGUAGUCCACACAGUAAACGAUGAAUACUCGCUGUUUGCGAUAUACAGUAAGCGGCCAAGCGAAAGCAUUAAGUAUUCCACCUGGGGAGUACGCCGGCAACGGUGAAACUCAAAGGAAUUGACGGGGGCCCGCACAAGCGGAGGAACAUGUGGUUUAAUUCGAUGAUACGCGAGGAACCUUACCCGGGCUUAAAUUGCAACAGAAUAUAUUGGAAACAGUAUAGCCGUAAGGCUGUUGUGAAGGUGCUGCAUGGUUGUCGUCAGCUCGUGCCGUGAGGUGUCGGCUUAAGUGCCAUAACGAGCGCAACCCUUAUCUUUAGUUACUAACAGGUUAUGCUGAGGACUCUAGAGAGACUGCCGUCGUAAGAUGUGAGGAAGGUGGGGAUGACGUCAAAUCAGCACGGCCCUUACGUCCGGGGCUACACACGUGUUACAAUGGGGGGUACAGAAGGCGGCUACCUGGUGACAGGAUGCUAAUCCCAAAAACCUCUCUCAGUUCGGAUCGAAGUCUGCAACCCGACUUCGUGAAGCUGGAUUCGCUAGUAAUCGCGCAUCAGCCAUGGCGCGGUGAAUACGUUCCCGGGCCUUGUACACACCGCCCGUCAAGCCAUGAAAGCCGGGGGUACCUGAAGUACGUAACCGCAAGGAGCGUCCUAGGGUAAAACUGGUAAUUGGGGCU